rnacentral:rRNA from 1 species
GGGUGGGAUCAUACCAGCACUAAUGCACCGGAUCCCAUCAGAACUCCGAAGUUAAGCGUCCCUGGGCGAGAGUAGUACUAGGAUGGGUGACCUCCUGGGAGGUCCUCGCGUUGCACUCC